CCCCCUUGGCAAUGAGCAAAGAGACAUCUUGUUGGUGGUGUUCUUAUAUCAGUCAGGGGCAGAGCAGAUGGCAGUCCUUUGUUUAUCCUAACUUGAUGCCUGGCUUGGUGGCCAACACUGCCUUGUGCAUGGGACUCAUAA